UACGUAGGUGGCAAGCGUUGUCCGGAUUUACUGGGCGUAAAGAGCGCGCAGGCGGUCGUUCAAGUCGCGUGUGAAAGCCCCCGGCUCAACUGGGGAGGGUCACGCGAUACUGAUCGACUCGAAGGCAGGAGAGGGUAGUGGAAUUCCCGGUGUAGUGGUGAAAUGCGCAGAUAUCAGGAGGAACACCGGUGGCGAAGGCGGGUCUCUGGGCCGAAACUGACGCUGAGGAGCGAAAGCGUGGGGAGCGAACAGG
rnacentral:rRNA from 1 species